rnacentral:rRNA from 1 species
UACGAAGGGGGCUAGCGUUGCUCGGAAUCACUGGGCGUAAAGGGUGCGUAGGCGGGUUUUUAAGUCAGGGGUGAAAUCCUGGAGCUCAACUCCAGAACUGCCUUUGAUACUGAAGAUCUUGAGUUCGGGAGAGGUGAGUGGAACUGCGAGUGUAGAGGUGAAAUUCGUAGAUAUUCGGAGGAACACCAGUGGCGAAGGCGGCUCACUGGUCCAUUACUGACGCUGAGGUGCGAAAGCGUGGGGAGCAAACAGG